AAUUAAUUAAUUAUAAUUAAAGAAACCUCAUUUCGCCAUUCUCUCUCUCUAUAUAUAUAACAACCAAAUAUCCAAAUUGAACAUCACAAAGCUUUCCUGACAGAUUUUCUUGAUUUGAAAAUGAGUGGAAGAGGAAAGAAGAACCCAAAGUUGGAAUUGAAGCUGAAGUUAUCUCUGGCCAACAAUGAAAACGACGAAGCUAAAGAAGAACAAGAAUCUGCAGGUGGUGGUUCAUCGUCGUCUGAAUUAAUUAUGUCACCGAAGAGUUCAUGCGUGUCAUAUCAAGAAACGACAAGUAGUCCAGAAAGCAGUUCAUCUUCACUGUUGCUGGUCGGUUGUCCUCGAUGUCUCAUGUACGUUAUGCUGUCAGAUGUUGAUCCUAAAUGCCCCAAGUGUAAGAGCAGCGUUUUGCUUGAUAUUCUCAACGAAGAUCUUAACACCAAGAAUUAAUUAAUUAUUAAGACUACUUAUCAUUCAUUAAUUAACUCUUCUUCUCCUUC